rnacentral:ncRNA from 1 species
AUGGGAAUCUGACUGUUUAAUUAAAACAAAGCAUUUUGAUGGUCCCUGUGGAUGUUGACGUAAUGUGAUUUAUACCCAUUGCUCUGCAUGUGAAAGUGAAGAAAUUAAACCAAGCACGGGUAAAUGACGGGAGUAACUAUGACUCUCUUAAGGUAUUCAUAUGCCCAGUCAUCUAAUUAGUAACAUGCAUGAAUGGAUUAACAAGAUUCCCACUAACCCUAGAUACUAUCUAUAGAAACCACAACCAACAGAUAUUAG